UACGAGCGGCCCAAACGUUAUUCGGAAUUACUGGGCUUAAAGAGUUCGUAGGCGGCGCAGAAAGUAGGGUGUGAAAGCCCUCGGCUUAACCGAGGAAUUGCGCUCUAAACUACUGUGCUUGAGGAACCUAGAGGUGAGCAGAACUGAUGGUGGAGCGGUGAAAUGCGUUGAUAUCAUCAGGAACACCGGUGGCGAAAGCGGCUUACUGGGUCUCUUCUGACGCUGAGGAACGAAAGCUAGGGGAGCGAACGGG
rnacentral:rRNA from 1 species